UAUAAAGUUACUCUUUAAAGGGAAAGUAUAUACAUGAACAUUCUAAAAUUUAGGGUCUAUUAGAUUAAAAACUAGUGCAAGGGUCUGAUGCGUGGAUGCAGGAUCAAAAGACAAUCUAGUAGAAAAAAAAAAAGGAUAGCUUGCAUAUAAAAUAGAACUAAACUAAAAAUUGCUCAGAAGACUGCAUUUUUUUUCAUUAGAAAUACAACAAAACAACAAUAAUGUGAAAUACUAUUACAAUCUAAAAUAGCUGUUUUGUAUUUUAAUAUAUUUUAAAAAUAAAAUGUCAUUUACUUUUGUGAUGCAAAGCUGAAUUUUCAGCAUCAUUACUCCAGUAUUCAGAAAUCAUUCUAAUAUGCCGAUCGAGUAACAUUUCUUAUUAUUAUUAUUAAUGUUGAAAACAGCUGUACUGCUUAAUAUUUUUGUGGAAACAUAUAUGCAUUUUUUUCAGGAUCCUUUGAUGAAUAGAAAGUUCAAAAAACUAUUUAUUUGAAAUGGAAAUCUUGUACGUUUCUUUAGUGUCACGUUUGAUCGAUUAAAUUUGUCCUUGCUGAAAAAAAUAUCAGUUUCUUAAAAAUAAAAUAAAAAAAUUGAAUGGUAGUGUUCUCUAAACGUUUCUAAAUAUUUAUAUAUAUAUUGAUAAUUUUUAUGAUCCUUGCUGAUGACCUAAAUGUAGGUGUAUAUCUAGCUAUCCUUGCAUGCAGUUUUCCCCAUGAUUUUCUUGUGUAAAAGAUAUAACUGACACUCAGUCGUACCAUUUUGUUCAGAUCUUGCCUGGUGGUGAUCAGACGGAGGUUGGAGAGAACAAUGUCACUCUGUGGCUGUUCUGCUCUCCCUUUUUCUAAUGCAAGGUAUUAACAACUGUAUCAAUAUCAGCUGUAUGUAUUAUAAAAUAUUACUACAAUAACUACUUGGAUUUGUCCUACACAGCCUCCAAAAAUGUGUCUGACUGGUGGCUUUCUCAAUGGAUUUCCCAUUUGAAGGACAAUACGACUGAGCUGGUGUCAGUGUCAGCUUCCUCUCUCCUGAGAGACUUGUGUGAGGCCACUAUGACGUUUUUUGACACUACACCCUUGGGUCUUAUCCUCCUGGUCAAUGUGUUUGGGCUGCUCGGGAUGCUGCUUGUCAUGAGCUAUGGGCUGCCUUGGGUGCUGCUUCCUUUACUUCCUCUGGGGGUGCUCUACUACCAAACUCAGUGUCGUGAGCUCAAAGUCAAACAUGUGUAGCCUCACGCUUUCUCCAGUUUAUUCACACUUCUCCAAAACGCUCAGAGGCCUGUCUACAGUGUGGGCCAGUGCACGCACUACCAGGUCUGAAAACUAGCUGUACUAUUGUACUCAAAUCAUUUCAUUUGCAUUGAUGUUUGAUAUUUGCAAAAAUUAUUUUGCAUAAAGAAAAUUAAGCUGUUUGUUGCAUUGUGACAUUAUUUUUCUGACUAUUAUUAAUUAUUGCUUUAGGAAUGAUUCUUCUGAUCAGCAUCAAUUAAAAUCACUACAGCAAAUGCUACUAAUUUAACUUUUUUUGUAAAAUAAUGUUAUUAUCAUAUAGGACUAUUCUGUAUUACAAUUCUUUUUUUUUAUUACAGUAAAGUACUUGUAAAAAAUGUAUAGCCUGAAUGCACUUUGCAUAAAAGCGUCUGCUAAAUGCGUAAAUGUAAAGUUUUUUUUUUUUUUUUUUUGCUUUUAGAGGAAAAUUGCUAUAAUUAGCAAAUUGUCUCUGUAAUAUGUUGCCUUUUCUCAUUUGACUUUGAGGUGAACUCUGACCUGAGUAUUUUACUGACAGUGAGGUUCACUCCUAUUUUUCAGAAUCAGCGCUGU
ensembl:lncRNA